UACGGAGGGGGCUAGCGUUGUUCGGAAUUACUGGGCGUAAAGCGCACGUAGGCGGCUUUGUAAGUUAGAGGUGAAAGCCCGGGGCUCAACUCCGGAAUUGCCUUUAAGACUGCAUCGCUAGAAUUGUGGAGAGGUAAGUGGAAUUCCGAGUGUAGAGGUGAAAAUUCGUAGAUAUUCGGAAGAACACCAGUGGCGAAGGCG
rnacentral:rRNA from 1 species